GGAGGAGAUGAGGGAGUUGGAGGAGCCUGAUUCAGGCGAAGGUCAUAACAUAGGGGUUUUUUUCCAACACUGUUUUUACUACAGGAUUCCCCAAGGGCGCAGGUGCAUCUCUUCCUUUGCAGCCCCAUUCUGGUGCCAUUUCUCUUGCCGUUUGCCAAGAGAGUAACUGGGAACAAUGGUAAGAACUGACCGGGCAGCAGUACUAUCACUUCUAGAAGAGGCUGGCUGAGUAAUGAGCUGCUUCAUUAGCUUCCCAGCAGGUUGGUCACUGUUGCUCACCUGGAAGUGGAGGGGUUGGUGGCAGGGAGCUCAGUGCGAUGGGAAUGCAUUGGCAGAGCUUAUUUAGCACUCCUGCUGGUUCAUUUGCAGCUCACCAACCUCCUUGCUACCGCCCAGUAAGCAACAGCAACAGGUGGCUCCUCUGACUGCUUCUGUAGGAGCCCUCCUCUUGUUUGGGGUGGCUGCACAAAACCAGUGCUUCCAUUGCUUCUGUCGCAUCAUCCACUUUGAGUAAUAUGGAUGUGGCUUCUAUCAGGCAGAGUCCUAGAAAGGUAUUGGAUGGUUUGUUAGAAGUCUCCAACUGUAGAGCAGAGCCAUCUGCCAUGUGGAAUUAAGAUCAUUCCGCGAGGCUAGGUCCUGGGUAUACGAGCUACAUUGAACAUUUAGCAUAUCCAUAAAAUGUAUCUGGAGGAGGUAAAAUCUUUCCCGUAAAGCUUGGUUUUUCACCCACACGUGGAUUUAAUUUUGAUGGAUAAAUGAUGGCAGCGAUACCGGCUGGCUUGAAACCAGCUCUGGAUUUAUCUUUUGGAGAGUGAGGUUUUCACUGUAACUUGGUUCUCGUGCAAAUAUUUACUUAUUCAGAAGUGUUACCGUAACAUCAAAGAACAUCAUAACCUGGAAAAUAACUUCAGAGCUUUUUUUCACAACCCCCCUAGGCUAUUAUGCAUUGAAAAAUUGGGCACAUUUUAUUGGGGCAGGCAAAAUGUCGAACAGCAUAUAUACAGUGAUUAGGCCUGGCGUAUUGCAAGCCUGAUCUGUGUAUAAAUAGGCAAGAAUGAGUCAAAGACGUUAGCUGAGCGUUCGAUGGUAAAAUACAGAGCUGAAAUGAAACUGCUUAGCUUGUUUAAUAAAUGCUGAAAUGCCCUGCUUGCUUUGGAGUUUUCUGAACUCCUUAGUACAUUUUUUGUUUUCUCUCUUCUUUGCCAUCAUUCUACUUGACUUCAUUCGCCCACAUCGUUUUUUGAUCGUAUUGACUGUGAUGAGCCACACGAUUUUGUUGGUGCCACAAUGUGCAUUUCACAAAUGAUGUCAAGGGCAUGCCUAAAUACUUAUUAUCUGUUUUCUACUCCUGGUAACUGAUUUUGCCAGGCAUAACCAUCUCUACUCACUGUUCAUGUGAUCUCGAACUCAGGAGCAUCUUCUCCUGUACCCUCCGGUGGUGCGAUGGGUCGAUGUGUUUGGCUGUUAACCAGAAGGUUGGUGGUUCAAGUCCACCCAAGAAUGGCUGUGGGCAGGAUUCUUGCAUUGUGAGGAGUUGGACUUGAUGACCCUCUGAAACCCUUCCAACUCCACAAAUUAAAAAUAGUUGAUAAAAUAAUUGAUUUUAAAACAAGUUAAAACCAAUUAAAACUAAAUUAAAACCACAUGAUCUGCGGAGCCCCAGAGCCAGCUAUCUGACCAGUUGCCAUCUUAACCAGAGGUCCAGCCUUCUUAUUUUCACAUCACCCAUCUCUAUAAUUCUAUGAUUCUAUGUUCCUCCCUGCUAUCUGAAACCUGUGAAUGAGGCCUUGCUACAUAUUCUUUCACACAAUGAAUUUAGAUUGUUUAGGCCCAUGGAGCAGGUCCUUUUCUGUGGUGGCACUGACACUGUGGAAAAUUCACAGUGAACAUUCAUUAGUCUUAACUCCUACCAUUCAAAUGGAAAACUGCUUCUUUUAUUCCGCAGAGCCUUUUAGCUACUGUGACUUGAUUUUGAGCAGAGAUUUCAGAUUGCCUUUAUUGUCUUAGCUGAAAUUUACAGCCUUUUACAUUUUGCUUUUAGUAAUGAAAUAUAAUUCACAUUGAUAUGUGUAGCUUGAUCUGUGGUGGUUCAUUCACACAAACAAUACAUCAUUUGAUGCUAUAGUCAACAAGUGAUGAAUAUUGCCUGUCUGAACCAGCCCCUGGUUUCCCUUUCUCAUCCUCUCCUUCAAGAUCCGAGAAGGCAGGAUACUUUAUGAAAGAGGAACUCAAAACAGAGCAAUGCAAAUGCUGUUUCAUUAUACUGUAGUAUUGAACGACAGCUGGCAGAGCAAGAGGAAUAAUUUAUUAGGAUUACAAAAUUGCUUUGGUGUCUGUUAUAUCUACCUUUUGAUACCAUACUAACAUUUUAUGGAUGUGGCCUUAUCCCUUUUUGCAAAUUUGUAAUGGCACACCGUAAACAAGUAAAUUUACAAACUGUAAAACAAUACCUGGGUCAGCAUUUUGAUUUCCCAGCCCCUAGUUCCCCUAUUUUCUGUGAAUCAAACUUUGGCAAGCAUUGCUAAGUGUGUGAUACUGUUACACAUAGUAAUGCCUUUAAUGGGCUUAUUUCUCUUACGUGUAUUUAUUUAAUGCGACUCACUGCGAUUUUAUGCACAGUUUGAUUCCGAGAUUAUGUUCUUUAAUCAUUCCUACCCCCAUCUCUCGCUCUCUUUCAACAGGUAUUUUCAGGCACACUUGUUAGAAUUUGAUUACAUUUGCAUUACAAUUCUUUCCUUUAUAGUUGGCUUUUUUAUGAUUAAGGCUUCCACUCAGAAUGGCUCUUUUCAUGUGUUUUUCCCCAAAAUAAAGAUUUCAUACCCGGGCACUUGGACAGAUUUUUUUUUUUUAAUGCUUCUAGACAGUGGCUAUCUUAAAUCUAUUCUGUCACACAGCCUUGCUUCACAGAUCUGGUUUACUGGAUCAAACCUUUCAGAAAUGAAUGACAAAGCACAUGUGAUGGAGAACACGUUUUGUAGCAAUGAGUGAAGCUCUGUGAGCUACGCACCCCAUUUGCAGACCCUACAAAGGAAAGUGCCUUUCAUAAGUUUAAAAGGAAGAAGCCUCUUAACGAGGCACAUGACAGAAACAUUUCUAAACUCCAAAACUACAUGUGUGGGUGGAUUCGUUUGUAAUUACAGCAAUUUUAUGAAAUGCACAAGAGCAUUAUUACCUUCCCAGACACUUGCGGAUUUCUGUUAAAAAUCCCAGAUGUUUAUGAAAAAGUAAUAGGCUUUGUGUUUUUCUACUUCUAAAGAUGGAUUUUUACAAAAUGCCACACCCCUUUGAGUUUUUGUCUCGCUUCUCAAGGGAGCUCUCUUGCCCAUCUUUUCUAUUGAGACAGAAACAGUGAAAGCCUUUAGGCUGUCAUUGUAACCAUUCACAGAACUGUAGAUGAAAGGGACCACAACAGCCAUCUAGUCCCCUUGCAAUACAGGAAUCAUUUGCCCAAUUGGGGCUUCAAACCCAUGACCCUGAGGUAAGGCGCGGGGUAGAGAAGUUGAAUAGAAUGGCAUUCUGAACACUUCACAUACACAGAGGUGUACCUAGAGUCCCUUGUGCUGUAUCAGUGGUGCCCCCAGGGAAAAAAAUGCUUUACUGCUAUAGCCAUAUUACAAAUUAUUACAUUUUGUGUGACCCUAGCACUCAAAGCAUUUGGAGUGAGGGCAAGGCAAAGAGGAAGGUCAGAAAGAUUCACAUGCUUUUGUGUCAUGAUGCGAGAAGGGCAGGAAGCUUCUCCCACAUUCGAUCUCACUGUGACAGUGCCAGCAUAUCACAACACACAUAAAUACACCAUAAACUCCAUAGUCUGACUGGUGAUUUUUGUGUCUGUGCGUGCAUGCAUGCGCGCGUGCACACUCACACACACACACACACACACACACACACACACACACUGGACCUGUGCUCACAGCGGAGGCCAGUUUCACCAACCCUAGGUAAGCCUCUGCACAUACGUUAUCUCAGCAAUCCAUACAACAAGUUUAUAAGGUAGGUGAGCAGAGGACCAAACCUCCCAUUAGACAGAGUGAGGUGACCACCUCAGGUGGCAAAUUCUGAGGGAAGUGGUGUCAUUGCAAGGUAUUGGCAGAUAGUACAAUGCUGCAUGUGGCCUACUGUACAUCUCCUAAGCAAGCCUGGUGCCCUCAAGUACGGUGGAGGAUGUUGUCCUGUUGCUCUUGCUGAAGGAAGAUUCAUCUGCUAGUCUACUCAGUUUUCCAUUUUCUUCCUUGCCUCAGGCAGCAAAAUAUCUUGGGCUGACCCUGGAUCAGUACUAUCAUUGGAGCAUGGCAGAUGGAAAACUGAGGCAGAGCUAGUCAGUGAAAGAGAAAGAGAGGAUUUCAAGGAAACAGUGAAUGCAUCAUUGAGGCAAGACUUGAACUUGGGAUUUCCCUCAAGCCGCAUAAACAUAUUGGCACUAAAGACUUAGAAAAGGCCUAAGAAAAAGUAUUUUUUAAAGACUUUAAAAAGGAGAAGAAUAGUGCCAAGAAAGAUAUGUACCAUAUUUUUCUGUGUAUAAGACGAGGUUUUGUUAUUAAAAUAUGUUGAAAUUUGGGGCUUGUCUUAUACACGGGUAGUGCAUUGGGGGGGGGGUUAUGUUGCUUCCGGAAGCCAGAGAGUGUUUGUGGCUAUUGCGCAUGUUAUUGUUGGAUGCAGCAAGGACUGGGCUUGAUUGGCUGUAGCUGUGGCAGUUGGGCGGGCACUUGGCGGCUUCUGCUGGUGAGGGGACAGUGGAUAGGAGGCGUUUGUGAUACGUGUGAGUGGCAUUGUAGGUUUGGCAGCUGAGCGAUUUUUGAUAAUCCCCCCUAAAAAAGCUUGACAACUCUGGGCCACCCCCAGAGGGGUCCCGCAAAAUAGGGGACAUCUUAUACAUGGGGGCAUGUUAUACACAGAAAAAUAUGGUACCCCAGCACCAUAUGCUACCAGAAGAUAUUCUGCAAGUCUAAUAUCGAA